UUCUCUCUCUCGUUCUCCCAGUGAGUUUCCCUGUUUCUACCACCACCACCAUCGUUAUCCUCAAGAUCAAAACCAAACCUUAUUGUCGUCGUCGUCGAGGAAGAAAGUAUAAUGAAUGCUGGAGAUUUGAUUUUUUUCUGUAAAUGAAUGUGACUGGAAGAUAUUGUGUUUUGGUUGGUUCAGAACUAAGAUGAGAUGAUCAUGUUAGCUAGGCAGGCUCUCUGAACCAUACAAGGAAAUUGGAGAGUGUUUUGGAAGAAUAAUCAAGGAAGAAGGGUUUGGGGCCAUUGCGGAGAGGAAACACAGGCAAUGUCAUAUGUUACUUCCCUACCCAGGCCUUGAAAUUUGCAUAGUUUCAAGAAGGAUAGAGAUGGCUACUGUAAUUUGCUGGUAACUUGGCAUUUGAAUGCGCUGCUGGUGCUUCUUCAGAUGAAGUAAGUGGUGGACUUGAAAAAAGGCUGAGGUGGGGAACAAAUUUGUUAGCAAGAAAUCGAUGUUGUUCUUACUUCAUCUGAUCAAUGGCAAGUUCUUGUUUCAUUGAUUAAAUAUGUUUUUGGAUCUCCAUAGUCUCAGCAAGAACUCUCUAUUGCUCCUCCUGGUUCAACCAUCUCUUAUUGAGGUUGAGCUUGUAUCUUUCAUUAAGGGUAUAGAAUCGUGGGACAUGGACAAUGGUGAGAAGAUUGUAGCUGCUGUCAAAAAGAAGAAAAAAAGGUAGUGCAAGAUAUGUGAGACCAAUUAUUAAAGUAUAAUGAUCCAGGGAAAGUAGUCGAGUGUGACCAAGUAUUUCUUUUCUUGUUUAUAAGGUUAGGCUGCAAAAUUUGUUGAGUACAAUUCUUCAUUAAGUGAAGAGCAGAAAAACAAAGCUAAGACUCUCAAGGUCAUCUGCAACCUUAAGAACACAUCAUGCAAGCUGAAAAUUAAAAGCUACAAGGAGGCCAAGAAGCUUUGCACACAGGUCUCAACUUUAACCCUUCUUCUGAAAAAUUUUAGUUAUAUUAAGUGUAUGUUUUAGCUUCUGUGCUAUUGAGGUUGAAUUUUUGUAAUUUUAUCUUUAGUUUUAUUCUAAACUGCUUUCGGAUGUAGUAGAUUUAUUAUAUGUAUUGAAAAUGCGGGGGUCUAACAACCACACCCAAUAUU